AUGCUGAUAUAAUGCGCCUACCGUGGUUGUAACGGGUAACGGGGAAUCAGGGUUCGAUUCCGGAGAGGGAGCCUGAGAAACGGCUACCACAUCCAAGGAAGGCAGCAGGCACGCAAAUUACCCAAUCCCAGCACGGGGAGGUAGUGACGAUAAAUAACAAUACGGGACUCUUAUGAGGCCCCGUAAUUGGAAUGAGAACAAUCUAAAUCCUUUAACGAGGAUCUAUUGGAGGGCAAGUCUGGUGCCAGCAGCCGCGGUAAUUCCAGCUCCAAUAGCGUAUAUUAAAGUUGUUGUAGUUAAAAAGCUCGUAGUUGGAUCUCAGUUCGAGUCAGGCGGUCCACUUGUUAGUGGCUACUGUCUGACUGAACACUUUACCGACUUGUCCUACGGUGCUUUUAACCGAGUGUCGUAGGCGAUCGGUACGUUUACUUUGAAAAAAUUAGAGUGCUCAAAGCAGGCGUAACGCCCGAAUAAUGUUGCAUGGAAUAAUGGAAUAGGAUCUCGGUUCUAUUUUGUUGGUCUUAGGAACGGAGUUAAUGGUCGAUAGGGACAGUUGAGGUCAUUCGUAUUGCGGCGCUAGAGGUGAAAUUCUUGGACCGUCGCAAGACGAACAAAGGCGAAAGCAUUUGACAAGAAUGUUUUCAUUAAUCAAGAACGAAAGUUAGAGGUUCGAAGGCGAUCAGAUACCGCCCUAGUUCUAACCAUAAACGAUGCCAACCAGUAAUUCGCCUGAGUCCUAAAUGACUCGGCGAGCGACUUCCGGGAAACCAAAGUGUUUGGGUUCUAGGGAUAGUAUGGUUGCAAAGCUGAAAUUUAAAGUCAUUGACGGAAGGGCACCACCAGGAGUGGAGCCUGCGGCUUAAUUUGACCCAACACGGGAAAACUCACCCGGCCCGGACACUGGAAGGAUUGACAGAUUGAGAGCUCUUUCUUGAUUCAGUGGGUGGUGGUGCAUGGCCGUUCUUAGUUGGUGGUGUGAUUUGUCUGGUUAAUUCCGAUAACGAACGAGACUCUAGCCUACUAAAUAGAUGGUCGGCUUACAAACGCCGGCCACACUUCUUAGAGGGACAGGCGGUGAUUCAACCGCACGAAACAGAGCAAUAACAGGUCUGUGAUGCCCUUAGAUGUCCGGGGCCGCACGCGCGCUACACUGAAGUGAUCAGCGUGCUUUUUCAACCUACUCUGUCAAGAGUGGGGAACCCAAUGAACCUUCUUCGUGAUUGGGAUAGGGGAUUGCAAUUAUUCCCCUUGAACGAGGAAUUCCCAGUAAGCGCGAGUCAUAAGCUCGCGUUGAUUACGUCCCUGCCCUUUGUACACACCGCCCGUCGCUACUACCGAUUGAAUGUCUUAGUGAGGUCUUCGGACUGGCCGGCGCAGCACUCUCGCAGUGCAGCGCUGUGUUUGGAAAGAUGCCCAAACUUGAACAUUUAGAGGAAGUAAAAGUCGUAACAAGGUU
rnacentral:rRNA from 1 species